rnacentral:rRNA from 1 species
UACGUAGGGGGCGAGCGUUUUCCGGAUUUAUUGGGCGUAAAGGGCGCGUAGGCGGCUCGCAACUUCCGUUGUGAAAUCGCCCGGCUCAACUGGGCGGGGUCGGCGGAUACGGCCGAGCUGGAGCAAGCUAGGGGGUAAUGGAAUUCCCGGUGUAGUGGUGGAAUGCGUAGAUAUCGGGAGGAACACCAGUGGCGAAGGCGGUUACCUGGAGCUUUGCUGACGCUGAUGCGCGAAAGCGUGGGGAGCGAUCCGG